GAGGCUGUUGCUGGCGCCUCCCGUGGGUGCAUAUAAUACUGUGCACGUCUCUUAUGUCUAUUUCU
rnacentral:rRNA from 1 species